rnacentral:piRNA from 1 species
UGGGAUUAAAGGCGUGUGCCACCAUGCCUGG